rfam:Gossypium raimondii Chr01_contig_1252, whole genome shotgun sequence.
AAACCAUGCAUUGGACAUUUCCUAAGUAAUUCCUUGAAUCACUCCCAAGCUUCAUACAACAUCUCUUCCUCUAAUUGUCAAAAAGAUGUGAGAUCAUUCCUUAACUU